UUUUAAGUGUUUAAACUCUUCUAUUGUGGGCAAAAUGGAAAUCAACAAACAAUCAUCUGUCGCUGACAUUAUUCCUUUUUUGAAAAAGAACAAAUUGGAUGAAAUUGUCGAAGAUUUUGAAGCUAAUCAAGUCGACGGCGAGGAUUUUUUCAAUUUAGAACCACAUGAUAUUUAUCAUAUGAUUCCUCGAAUAAAACUUCGCAAGAAAUUUACUUGUAUUUGGAAUGACGUUACUCAAAAGGGGUCAUCAGCUUCAACAAGACACUCUUGUGUCACUUCGAACAACAUCAGAACCAUCAACAAAGAUGUGAAUCCAGACAUUCCGAGUAAUUCAGCUGAUCAUCAAGAAAAUCAUGAUGAGGGCUUGUCAGAAUCAGCUUCAACAGUGCACUUGCACAUCUAUUCAAGCCACAUAAGAACCAUCAACUUGGAUGUAAAUGAAGACAUUGUUCUUAGUACUUCAGCUGAUCAUCAAAAUGAUGAGAACAUUGGACCAGAGAGACAUCUCAAGGACAAUGUUCCAAGGAGUCCCUUGACAGCUAAUGUGAACAAUUCCAAUUGGUUGUCCAAGUUUUGUUUGCCAACAAGAUGGGAACCAGCAGUGGAGGAGGCAUUAAAAAGGCAGGAACUAAAUCCAAAUGAAAAAAAUGCAUUAAACAGGCAAUUAACUUCUUCAAUUUUGGCACAUACUGAAUCGCCAACUGUUCAUGAAAGAAAACACAUUGCUCUUAUAUUAAUUCAAAAGUAUCCAUUCUUAAAGGGAUCAUUUGGUUCUAGUCAUCAACUAUGAGAAAACUAAAUAGCAGACCGAGUCCUUAAUCUGCGAAGAAGAGCAUCCCGAGCUCAAAAGCGAAAGCGGCUUGAAGAAGGGGUCCUAAUUCCAAAGGGAAAACCUGGUAGGAAAAGUAAGAAAUCAGCUUGCAAUUCUCUCCCAUCUCUUCCAGAAGGUGAAACAGAAGCAGCUAUUGUAAUUCAACAAAAGCAGUUGGUUGAAAUGUUUAAUAUUGGCUCACAAGACUUGAGCAAGAUCAAUGUGUUGAUGAACAAUACCUUUGCUCAUCGGCGUAGAGACAUUUUGGUGAACAAUACAAGGGUUUGGAAGCUUCUGCAUGACUACCCUUUUUUCAAACACACCAAGGGAGUUGAACUGAAAGCAGAGUUAGGACGUAUUUUGGAGAAGAGUGAUGUUGUGCAAGACAUGAAGGAACAAUGGAAUUUGCACAAAUAUAAAAUGC